GGUUUAACCCCUUCCCUUACUA
rnacentral:tRNA from 1 species